rnacentral:rRNA from 1 species
CUACAUAAGCGGAGGAAAGAAACCACAGGGAUUGCCUUAGUAACGGCGAGUGAAGCGGCAAAAGCUCAAAUUUGAAAUCGGCCCCCAGGUCGAGUUGUAAUUUGUAGAUUGUAUCUUGAGAGCGGAUUAAAGUCUGUUGGAACACAGCGCCUUAGAGGGUGACAGCCCCGUAAAAUCUAUUCUCAUUGUAAGAUACUUUCGAAGAGUCGAGUUGUUUGGGAAUGCAGCUCUAAGUGGGAGGUAAAUUCCUUCUAAAGCUAAAUAUUGACGAGAGACCGAUAGCGAACAAGUACUGUGAAGGAAAGAUGAAAAGCACUUUGAAAAGAGAGUGAAAAAGUACGUGAAAUUGUUAAAAGGGAAGGGUAUUGAAUCAGACUUGGUGCUGUUGUUCAACCUAGUGUUUCUGGCACAGUGUACUCAGCAGUACUAGGCCAAGGUGGGGUGUUUGGGAGUGAAAAAGAAGUUGGAACGUAACUCUUCGGAGUGUUAUAGCCUACUUUCAUAGCUCCUCAGGCGCCUCAGGACUGCGCUUCGGCAAGGACCUUGGCAUAAUGAUUCUAUACCGCCCGUCUUGAAACAC